GAGUUUGAUCUUGGCUCAGGAUGAACGCUGGCGGCGUGCUUAACACAUGCAAGUCGAACGAAGCGCCUUAUUUGAUUUUCUUCGGAACUGAAGAUUUGGUGACUGAGUGGCGGACGGGUGAGUAACGCGUGGGUAACCUGCCCUGUACAGGGGGAUAACAAUCAGAAAUGACUGCUAAUACCGCAUAAGACCACAGCACCGCAUGGUGCAGGGGUAAAAACUCCGGUGGUACAGGAUGGACCCGCGUCUGAUUAGCUGGUUGGUGAGGUAACGGCUCACCAAGGCGACGAUCAGUAGCCGGCUUGAGAGAGUGAACGGCCACAUUGGGACUGAGACACGGCCCAAACUCCUACGGGAGGCAGCAGUGGGGAAUAUUGCACAAUGGGGGAAACCCUGAUGCAGCAACGCCGCGUGAGUGAAGAAGUAUUUCGGUAUGUAAAGCUCUAUCAGCAGGGAAGAAAGUGACGGUACCUGACUAAGAAGCCCCGGCUAACUACGUGCCAGCAGCCGCCGCCGU
rnacentral:rRNA from 1 species